rnacentral:rRNA from 1 species
UACAGAGGGUGCGAGCGUUAAUCGGAAUUACUGGGCGUAAAGCGUGCGUAGACGGUUAUGUAAGUCGGAUGUGAAAGCCCCGGGCCUAACCUGGGAACUGCAUUCGAGACUGCAUAGCUAGGAUGCGGAAGAGGGAAGUGGAAUUUCCGGUGUAGCGGUGAAAUGCGUAGAUAUCGGAAGGAACAUCAGUGGCGAAAGCGACUUCCUGGUCCAGCAUCGACGUUCAGGCACGAAAGCGUGGGGAGCAAACAGG